CAAAAGGCCCUUUUCAGGGCCACAAAUCUUUUUUCAAAGAAUUUUA
rfam:Drosophila mojavensis strain TSC#15081-1352.22 Ctg01_10521, whole genome shotgun sequence.